UAAUAAAAAGUGAUUUUUUACGUUUUGUAGAGUUCAAAACGUGAUAAUCCAUAAGUAGGUCACCCCUUACUACAGGAAAACGUGAUUCCACAAAACUUAGCGCCAUAACUGCCGCCAAAAUUCCCAUGGAAGUUUACCUCUUCAUCACGAUCCUUUGAUCGAUCUCCGCUGCCUGCAGUUCGCUCCAUCAAGAGCCAUUCGUUUCCCACACAACAGAUUGAAAGCGGUGCGUUAGGGUUUCUCGUCUCUUAAUUUUCUCUUGUUGUUACCUCUAGCAUCUGCCGUUUGCCCUGCGUAAGGAUUGCAUUGGUGCUAUUGAUGGGACACAUGUUAAAGCAUCAGUUCGAGAGCAUGAACAAGCAAAAUAUAUUGGUAGAAAAGGAUAUGCAACACAAAAUAUCAUGGCAGCAUGUGAUUUUAAUAUGUGUUUUGCAUUUGCAUAAGCGGGAUGGGAAGGCACUGCACAUGACACAAGAAUUUUUUUAGAAGCAUUACGUAAGCUAGAGGUGAAAUUUCCUCGUCCA